rnacentral:lncRNA from 1 species
UCCAGGUUCACUGACACACACCCAUGUUCCCUGACAGCCUCCCAAGGGAAUGCUGCAUCUGUGGCAGCAACACCACGUCUCUGUGCAGGCUCACUACUGCAAAAACAGAAGGGAUGAGGUUCCAUGGAGGUGGUUUACAAGGUGAGAGAGGAUGGCAGAACAAGGUCCCGGGAGCUGUCCCUUAGCAAACUGCUGAAGUUUAGCACCACCACAAGCACAGAACGUACCCCCAGCUCCUCUGUGGCCAGAAAAGCAGGUUUGAGCUUUGUGAGCUUCUCUGCAUCAUUUCACC